CUGGUAGCAGGGCCCUCACUCUGGUCAAGACCUUUGCUCCCUGCUCAGAUGGCCCUGGGCUCCGUUGCCAUGGCUGCUUUUUAGUUUGAGGUAAACAGAGCUCUUCCUCCUCCUGUCCAGACACCUAAGUUCUCUCUGGGGAAGGGUUGGAAUUUCAAGCGUCCAGGUGUCCCUCACUCCCCUUCCCGGAAGGCACGAGGGCGGUUGUUGGGCAGGAAAUUCACAACCGAAGACCACUGGACAAUAGCUCCAUUGCCAAGCGACCCACAGGGGGCUCAGAUGGCAAAGCGUCUGCCCGCAGUGCGGGAGACCCGGGUUUGACUCCUGGAUCGGAAAGGUCCCCUGGAGAAGGCAAUGGCACCCCACUCCAGUACUCUUGCCUGGAAAAUUCCAUGGAUGGAGGAGCCUGGUAGUCUACAGUCCAUGGGGUCGCAAAGAGUUGGACACGACUGAGCGACUUCACUUUCCAGGCCACAGGGACCCUGAAGUGCUCUGGACUUGGGCUGUAGCCUAUAUCCUCUUGGGAGAGGAGAAACGUGUAUUUCUGGAGGUCUUCAUGUGAGAGCAGAGCCAAGGCCAAGAGCUCAACCCUGGCUGCUGCAAGGAAGCUUUUAAAACGUGCAGGUGGGCUUCCCUGGGCUCUCAGUGGUAAAGAAUCCAUCUGCCAAUGCAAGAGACAUGGGUUCAAGCCCUGGUCCGGAAAGGUCCCGCAUGCCUUGGAUCAACUAAGCCCGUGUGCCACAGCUGUUGAGCCUGCACUCUAGAAGCAGAGAACUGCACCUACUGAGCCCAUAUGCCACAACUACUGAAGCCCGCGACUCCUAGAGCCUGUGCUCUGCAACCUGAGAAACUACUGCAAUGAGAAGCCCGCAUACCGCAACUGGAGAGUAGCCCCUGCUCGCCGUAACUUGAGAAAAGUCCGCAAAGCAAUGAAGACCCAGUGCACUCAAAAAUAAGUUAAUAAAAUCAUUAAA
rnacentral:lncRNA from 1 species